GAGUUUGAUCGUGGCUCAGAGUGAACGCUGGCGGUAGGCCUAACACAUGCAAGUCGAACGGUAGCAGGUCUUUCGGGAUGCUGACGAGUGGCAGACGGGUGAGGAAUACAUCGGAAUCUGCUCAGUCGUGGGGGAUAACGCAUGGAAACGUACGCUAAUACCGCAUACGACCUUCGGGUGAAAGCAGGGGAAUCUUUAGGGAUCCUUGCGCGAUUGAAUGAGCCGAUGUCGGAUUAGCUAGUUGGUAGGGUAAAAGCCUACCAAGGCGACGAUCCGUAGCUGGUCUGAGUGGAGGAUCAGCCACACUGGGACUGAGACACGGCCCUGACUCCUGCGGGAGGCAGCAGUGGGGAAUAUUGGACAAUGGGGGCAACCCUGAUCCAGCCAUACCGCGUGGGUGAAGAAGGCCUUCUGGGUUGUAAAGCCCUUUUGUUGGGGAAGAAAAACAACGGGUUAAUACCCCGUUGGUAUGACGGUACCCAAAGAAUAAGCGCUGGCUAACUUCGUGCCAGCAGCCGCGGUAAUACGAAGGGUGCAAGCGUUACUCGGAAUUACUGGGCGUAAAGGGUGCGUAGGUGGUUGCGCCAGUCUGUCGUGAAAGCCCUGGGCUUAACCUGGGAAUGGCGAUGGAAACUGUGCAACUAGAGUGUGACAGAGGGUGGUGGAAUUCCUGGUGUAGCAGUGAAAUGCGUAGAGAUCAGGAGGAACAUUCGUGGCGAAGGCGGCCACCUGGGUCAACACUGACACUGAGGCACGAAAGCGUGGGGAGCAAACAGGAUUAGAUACCCUGGUAGUCCACGCCCUAAACGAUGCGAACUGGAUGUUGGGUCCAACUUGGGAUUCAGUAUCGAAGCUAACGCGUUAAGUUCGCCGCCUGGGGAGUACGGUCGCAAGACUGAAACUCAAAGGAAUUGACGGGGGCCCGCACAAGCGGUGGAGUAUGUGGUUUAAUUCGAU
rnacentral:rRNA from 1 species